AAGCCCACAGCCGAACACUGUCUCAAUCUCGACACCCAAAUGAGCACACCAACGUGAGAGGCCGGAUCGAGCCCAUCCCCUCCGCCAUGGUCAACGACCCACCGCCCACGAUGGCACUGACGCCCCCAAUUCCCCAUGCCAACGCGUGCGAGACGGUGCCAUUGGAUCGAUGGCGCGCGUGCUAUGUGCGUGUGCGCGUGCGCUUGAAUGCUAGGGCGGCGUGCAGGAGCUCCCCCUUCUCCUCCCUUUUCCUCUCUCCCCCUGCACGCGGUGGAGCUUGAGCUGGGCGGGAGGCUGAGCGGGAGUUCUUGGGGGCAGAGGAAGAAGGCGUGGACGUUGGGGAGUAGUUGCGUGGAACGAUGGAAGGAGGGCGUGAACGGUGGGAUGGGCGCUGGCUGGCUGGUACUCGCUUUAUGAUAUGAAGAUAUGUAUGCUGCUGGUAGGUACUCGUGAACAUGGUGAAAAGGGAUCGGUGCUGCAGCGGCAGGCGUCUGGUGGCUAUGCAGUGGCAUCCGCUACUUAGACACGUAGCCGACAACCGUGAGAAGACUUUGAUCUUGAUAUAUUAGAUGUAAGCCCCAUACACCAUAGGAGGUCCUCCUUUUGGUGAUAUCAGUCGCCAGUCGGUGAGCUUUCUCCAUCUUCACCCUCUAACACACAUUGGUUCUGCAUUAUGUAUAUGUGGCUUAGAUAAUAAAGGAAUGUUUCUAUCUGAAUAUUAUCCAGUUAUUCUUUCUUUGUCUAAAUCGAUUUAGGAGAAGAGAUAGAGAGAAGCAAGUUACUGGUGUUGUUAAUUUGGGAAAUUUAGUACUUUGUUUAUAUUGCUUUGUUUUAGGGGAUGAAGUAAAUAGAAGAAGAAAUUCCUGGGAUGGAUCUAUAUGUGCCCGUUAUGCUGUCAUGUAAAUUCCACAACACAUCUGUAUGCGUGUAUCCUUCUUAUAGUUUCUAUUACCCACUUAUAGUCAUGCUUGACAGCCUGAGGGCUGAGGCUAACAAUUCUUUUCGUCUCUGUGCCCCUUAUUUCAGUGCAUUGUGCUACUGUAUACUACUGUUAUAAUGACAUGUGCAUUUAGUAAAAUCCCUUAAUAAUGGCAGCAUGUAAAAAAUUAAAUGUUUCCUGAGUGCUGACUGUGGUAUAGAUUCGUUUAAGUUCUGAAACCUGCAAGUACUUAAUUAGAUAAUAAUUCUGUAGGAUGAUAAAAAAGAAGAAGAUGAUGAUUCAGUUAUCAAGAGGAUGUGUGAACUCUGAACCUGAAGAACAGGAAAUAAAACAUGAGGAAGAUAAUGGAAGAGAAGAAGAAGCAGACAUUAGGAUAAUGAAAGAGAAUGAGUAGAUAAUGAGAAUGGUAAUGAAAGAGAAGACGAGAUGCACCUUGGCUAAGUAAAGAGCUAGACCUGAAAUUGCCAAUAAAGGGAAUGAGGUCCCUUUCUCUAUCGGUGCCAUCUUAGCUGCCGGCGAUUAGGUGCAUAUUUCGCGAGAUAAUCUCGUUCUAACAUGUCUCUGAUUUUGAAUUUUUUUUUGCGGAUUUCAGAAUAUAGAAGGCAGCUUCGCAGAGGGGUCACCGACGAGCAAGAGAAAUACUGCUGUAUGUUCAUGAACAAUUUUCUGUUGCUCUGACUGAACGGAUUGUCUCUGUAAUUCUUGUCUGUUUGGGUGGUGCCCAGCUGCCAAUAGAAGACAAGCUGUCUUCUUGCCGAACAACGCCACAAUUGCAUAGUUGUAUGUUAUUUAGGAUUGUCUCUGUUGCAUACGACCUGGAGUUACAAGAGGUCCGGUACUAAUCUUGUGUAUGUAUCUUUUCUGUAUACACCUGAUUUCAAAGCAUCUAUUAUAGUACAUUUUGUUUCUUUGCUCGGUA